rnacentral:rRNA from 1 species
GUUUCAUUUAAAAUUAUAAUAAAAUUUUAUUUUUUAGUCAAAAAGCUAAAAUUUUUUUAAAAGACGAGAAGACCCUAUAAAUCUUUAUAAUUAUAUUAUUUUAAUUUAUUAGAUUGAUUUUAUUAUUAUAGGUUUAAUUAUUUUAUUGGGGUGAUAUUAAAAUUUAAUAAACUUUUAAUUUUUUUUUAACAUUAAUUUAUGAAUAAUUGAUCCAUUAUUAGUGAUUAUAAAAUUAAGUUACUUUAGGGAUAACAGCGUAAUUUUUUUGGAGAGUUCUUAUCGAUAAAAAAGGUUGCGACCUCGAUGUUGGAUUAAGAUAAAUUUUUAAAUGCAGAAGUUUAAAUUUUAAGUCUGUUCGACUUUUAAAUUCUUACAUGAUCUGAGUUCAAACCGGUGUAAGCCAGGUUGGUUUCUAUCUUUAAUUAAUUAAUAUAUUUUAGUACGAAAGGACCAAGUAUUUAAAUAGUUAUGUAUAUUUUGUAUUAAGAAU